rnacentral:rRNA from 1 species
CCUUUGCCGGCGACCGGCGCACGGGUGAGUAACACGUAUGCAACCUGCCCUCUUCAGGGGGACAACCUUCCGAAAGGGAGGCUAAUCCCGCGUAUAUCGGUUUCGGGCAUCCGAGAUCGAGGAAAGAUUCAUCGGAAGAGGAUGGGCAUGCGGCGCAUUAGGCAGUAGGCGGGGUAACGGCCCACCUAACCGACGAUGCGUAGGGGUUCUGAGAGGAAGGUCCCCCACACUGGUACUGAGACACGGACCAGACUCCUACGGGAGGCAGCAG